rnacentral:snRNA from 1 species
GGAUGGGAGGGCGAUCUGGCUGCGACAUCUGUCACCCCAUUGAUCGCCAGGGUUGAUUCAGCUGAUCUGGCUGGUUAGGCGGAUGUGUCCUUCCUCCCUCACUGCUCCAUGUGCAUCCCUCCCGAAGCUGUGCGCUUGGUCGAAGAGGAUGGCCUUCCCUGAUAGAGGAGGAUCGUUCUUCGGUCAAGGGUAUACGAGUAGCUGCUCUCCCCUGCUAGAACCUCCAAACAAGCUCUCAAAUGGCAAUAAGUAUAUGCCUUUCAAUAAUUACUUGAAAUACAAAUGGACUAAAUGUUCUAAUAAAAAAAUAU